rnacentral:rRNA from 2 species
UAGCAAGGUUAACCGAAUAGGGGAGCCGAAGGGAAACCGAGUCUUAACCGGGCGUUAAGUUGCAGGGUAUAGACCCGAAACCCGGUGAUCUAGCCAUGGGCAGGUUGAAGGUUGGGUAACACUAACUGGAGGACCGAACCGACUAAUGUUGAAAAAUUAGCGGAUGACUUGUGGCUGGGGGUGAAAGGCCAAUCAAACCGGGAGAUAGCUGGUUCUCCCCGAAAGCUAUUUAGGUAGCGCCUCGUGAAUUCAUCUCCGGGGGUAGAGCACUGUUUCGGCAAGGGGGUCAUCCCGACUUACCAACCCGAUGCAAACUGCGAAUACCGGAGAAUGUUAUCACGGGAGACACACGGCGGGUGCUAACGUCCGUCGUGAAGAGGGAAACAACCCAGACCGCCAGCUAAGGUCCCAAAGUCAUGGUUAAGUGGGAAACGAUGUGGGAAGGCCCAGACAGCCAGGAUGUUGGCUUAGAAGCAGCCAUCAUUUAAAGAAAGCGUAAUAGCUCACUGGUCGAGUCGGCCUGCGCGGAAGAUGUAACGGGGCUAAACCAUGCACCGAAGCUGCGGCAGCGACACUGUGUGUUGUUGGGUAGGGGAGCGU